rnacentral:rRNA from 1 species
GGGGAAUAUUGGACAAUGGGCGAAAGCCUGAUCCAGCCAUGCCGCGUGUGUGAAGAAGGUCUUCGGAUUGUAAAGCACUUUAAGUUGGGAGGAAGGGCUGCAAGUUAAUACCUUGUAGUUUUGACGUUACCAACAGAAUAAGCACCGGCUAACUUCGUGCCAGCAGCCGCGGUAAUACGAAGGGUGCAAGCGUUAAUCGGAAUCACGGGCGUAAAGCGUGCGCAGGCGGUUGUGUAAGACAGGUGUGAAAUCCCCGGGCUUAACCUGGGAACUGCGCUUGUGACUGCACGGCUAGAGUAAGGCAGAGGGGGGUGGAAUUCCUUGUGUAGCAGUGAAAUGCGUAGAUAUCAGGAGGAACACCGAUGGCGAAGGCAGCCCCCUGGGCCUGUACUGACGCUCAUGCACGAAAGCGUGGGGAGCAAACA